AGCUUUGCGCAGUGGCAGUAUCGUAGCCAAUGAGGUUUAUCUGAGGCACAAUUCUCGCUAAUUAAAAAAAAUUGA
rnacentral:snRNA from 1 species